rnacentral:pre_miRNA from 1 species
AAUGGGAUAACUGGGUCAAAUGGUGGUUCCAUACCAAGUUUCCCAAGGAAUGUCCAUACUGCUUUCCAGACUGGUUGUCCCAAUUUGCAGUCCCACUAGCAAU